AUUGAACGCUGGCGGCAGGCCUAACACAUGCAAGUCGAGCGCGCGGCGGACGGGUGAGUACUGUCUGGGAAACUACCUGAUGGAGGGGGAUAACUACUGGAAACGGUAGCUAAUACCGUAUACCAUCAGAUGUGCCCAGAUGGGAUUAGCUAGUAGGUGGGGUAAUGGCUCACCUAGGCGACGAUCCCUAGCUGGUCUGAGAGGAUGACCAGCCACACUGGAACUGGGACACGGUCCAGACUCCUACGGGAGGCAGCAGUGGGGAAUAUUGCACGAUGGGCGCAAGCCUGAUGCAGCCAGGCCGCGUGUGUGAAGAAGGCCUUCGGGUUGUAAAGCACUGUCAGCGGGGAGGCGUUACCCGCAGAAAAAGCACCGGCUAACUCCGUGCCAGCAGCCGCGGUAAUUC
rnacentral:rRNA from 1 species